UGUUGCUGAUCUCGCUGAUCAAGUCGCAGAUGUGCUUCAUUUCUUCAGGUUGAGGGAAGAAGUUUUGUUGAAGUCCCCUCUUAGUGUGGUGGAGAUUAGCAAAUGACCUGAAAAGAUGUUGGAGCAAACGAGCCUUCACAGGAACCAUCACAAGAACCAUCACAACCAGUAUAUGAUAGUUUCUAUGUAGUCGUCUUGUGCUAUUUUCAAUAAGUGGAUGUCCAUCCUCAACUGUGUCGAGUACUGAAGUUCAGGUUACACAAGGUGAAGCAGCACAAGUGAUGCAGGCAGUAGUAGUUGAAUGGUGGCAGGCAUUAGCAGUGCAAGGCAGUACCAACGAAGUUUAGGCUACAUCUAGCCAAGUGAGCCCAAGUGAAGGUUCAGGUGUUUGUAUGCUUAAAAAGAAGUUGACACUAAGGAAACUGCUGCAAUGUAGGACGAAUUAAGUUUCUUGUACUUCUGUGAACUUGUAUUGGUCGCCACCUUGUAGCUCUGUGAACUUGUUCCAGUUUCAAUUUAUGUGGACUUCUGUGAACAAUUUCAGUUCGUGUGAACUUCCAUGAAUGUCCUAUAUGCUUGUGUUAUAUAU